CCCGUCCCUAGAGGUAUUGCAGGUGUGGCUGCUCUGUCACAUGUGAAUCAGUAGGUGGCAGAGAGGAGAGAGGCCGUGUCUAUGCUCAGUGUUCUGAUCUAUGAACAUCUGAAUGAUUACUACACUAACAUU